UUUAUGUUCAUGGUUUAUACUCCAUUUGACAUGAAUUCUCCUGUAAAUCAGCAUCAUAUCAGUUUGACCUGUCCCCCCAACUACACAGGCUGAAUAAACUGUGUUUGACUAUAAGGCUCAGUCAGAUACAGUCAGGGCUUCACAUCUGUACAGAUGUUAUUUUAAGAAUCCUCACAUCCCACUGAC